rnacentral:rRNA from 1 species
ACUCAAAUGAAUUGACGGGGGCCCGCACAAGCGGUGGAGCAUGUGGUUCAAUUCGAAGCAACGCGAAGAACCUUACCAACUUUUGACAUGUCCCGUAUGGGUUUCAGAGAUGAGACUCUUCAGUUCGGCUGGCGGGAACACAGGUGCUGCAUGGCUGUCGUCAGCUCGUGUCGUGAGAUGUUGGGUUAAGUCCCGCAACGAGCGCAACCCUCGCCCUUAGUUGCCAUCAUUCAGUUGGGCACUCUAAGGGGACUGCCGGUGAUAAGCCGGAGGAAGGUGGGGAUGACGUCAAGUCCUCAUGGCCCUUACAGGUUGGGCUACACACGUGCUAAAAUGGCGGUGACAGAGGGACGCGAAGACGCGAGUCUUGGCAAAUCUCAAAAAACCGUCUCAGUUCGGAUUGGGGUCUGCAACUCGACCCCAUGAAGUUGGAAUCGCUAGUAAUCGUGGAUCAGCACGCCACGGUGAAUACGUUCCCGGGCCUUGUACACACCGCCCGU